rnacentral:lncRNA from 1 species
AUUCCCGAGGGCUUUUUCUACUCGAUGUCCUUUUUAAUGCCUGCUUCUCAUAGCAUCUUUUUGCUGCUGGUAUUUUCCCUGCUCAUUCAGAUUCCAGCACUCUUACCUUCUGCAAGAAGUGCCUCAGCAAGCCUGUGGGUGUGGGUGGUGGUUCCAUCGGCCCCAAAUUACACCCCUUUUCUGUAUUUCACAAGCCCUGAAUGCCCCUUGCACCCCCAGCCCCCACGGAGAUGCGGAGCCUCUAGCUCCAUUCUGCAUUCACUAGAUCCACUCUUCCUCCCCCUGUAUAGGUGUGAAUUACAGUCACUCUGCUCAAAAUGUUUGCAGCAAAGGCCAUCUUCGAGGUCAGGAAAUCCUAUUAUCAGAUUUACUCUUCAGAGCAGAGGUGUCCAUAGUAGUGAAGUUGAGCCAUUCCCUGGAGCAUCUGUGGGGUCUUCAUGUUUGGGAAAUCUUGGGAUUCUUGAGAAGUGGUGACUCAACACAUGGAGUUCUUAGCCUGCUCAGAGGAAGGAGCAUCAACAGUCUUUCAAGAGUCAGCCUCAAACCCAGAACACACUCACACAAAUCCAGCUGAAGAUGAUUCUCGAGUGGCCAGAGUCCAGCAGGGCCUCAAUUCCUGCAGAAAUUGGGAAUGCGUCUGAGGGGCCAGACCCUUCCAUCGUGGAGGCUAAGGGGCGUUAUCCUCUCUGGACCUCAGAGGACAACUCUCAGUGCCGGGAGAAACACUGACCAGGAAUGUGGCAGCUCCUCUUUCCUGUCCCCGGCCUCCCCCACCGUCCUCCCGCCUGUGUGCUGAGAUGCACCAUCCCUCACCCCUUCAUUCUCCCGCCUCCUCCUGGCAAAGGUCCUCCUCCUCUCUUUGGGGCCCUCUUUCCCUCCUACUCCGUUUCCUGGCUUUAUUCCUCCCAGGCUUCCUGUCACACUAAGCUCUUUGUCUCCACUCCCAUUCCUCAUUUUCUGCAUGUCCUCUGUAAGCCCAAAGCUGCCUGCCAGGGCCUUUCCUCCUCCCAUGUCUUCUGUCUCAUGAAAAAAUGCACCUAAUCCAGAUUUAAAGUUUCCUUCUGGGCACUUCAUUCUGUGUGCCCGGGAGGCCUGAGGGGCAGUCACUCGCCGUGGAGCACUCUGCCGUCCUGAAGAAGGUCCUGUGAGAGAGGUGGCUUUGCCAGGCCUGGCUGCGAGCUGCAGACCUGGGUUUUAUUCCAAGCUAUACACUUCCUCAGCUCUCCAGCUCUCCAUCAAAACUCACAAGUACCUACUGAGACCCCUCAUGGGUUUAGUCAGCUCUGGAAUGGAUUCCCUGGGUGACAGAAAAGCCACCGGCCGGUGGCUCCCCCUCCACUCAAGCCAGCCUGCGGUGCG